CAACAGCUUCGUGAGAAAUCCAUCACGUACAAGUGGGGGCCACACCGGCUAUUGGUGGAGAGAGAAGGCAAGACGCACAUCCUAACACAUAAAUCGGAAGAGCCAGCUUUCCUUCGAGCCCUGGGCCUACCAGCCGAGGCAGCCCCGGCGGUCACCCACCCUACAUGGACUGUCGCAAACAUCAGCCCAUUUGUGCCUAGGGGAACAAGAAUGAG